rnacentral:rRNA from 1 species
UACGUAGGGGGCAAGCGUUGUCCGGAUUUAUUGGGCGUAAAGAGCGUGUAGGCGGCUUGGCAAGUCCGUUGUGAAAACCUCGAGGCUCAACCGUCGAGACGUCGAUGGAAACUGCCGUCGCUAGAGUCCGGAAGAGGAGAGGUGGAAUUCCUGGUGUAGCGGUGGAAAUGCGCAGAUAUCAGGAAGAACACCCGUGGCUAAGGCGGCUCUCUAGUACGGUACUGACGCUGAGACGCGAAAGCGUGGGGAGCGAACAGG